AGAGUUUGAUCCUGGCUCAGAUUGAACGCUAGCGGCAUGCCUUACACAUGCAAGUCGAACGGCAGCGGGGGAGCUUGCUCCCGCCGGCGAGUGGCAAACGGGUGAGUAAUACAUCGGAACGUGCCCAGUAGUGGGGGAUAGCCCGGCGAAAGCCGGAUUAAUACCGCAUACGACCUACGGGUGAAAGCGGGGGACCGAAAGGCCUCGCGCUAUUGGAGCGGCCGAUGGCUGAUUAGCUAGUUGGUGGGGUAAAGGCCUACCAAGGCUACGAUCAGUAGCUGGUCUGAGAGGACGACCAGCCACACUGGGACUGAGACACGGCCCAGACUCCUACGGGAGGCAGCAGUGGGGAAUUUUGGACAAUGGGCGAAAGCCUGAUCCAGCAAUGCCGCGUGUGCGAAGAAGGCCUUCGGGUUGUAAAGCACUUUUGUCAGGAAAGAAAUUGUCUGGGCUAAUACCCCGGGCCGUUGACGGUACCUGAAGAAUAAGCACCGGCUAACUACGUGCCAGCAGCCGCGGUAAUACGUAGGGUGCGAGCGUUAAUCGGAAUUACUGGGCGUAAAGCGUGCGCAGGCGGUUUGUUAAGACAGUUGUGAAAUCCCCGGGCUCAACCUGGGAACUGCAAUUGUGACUGGCAGGCUAGAGUUUGGCAGAGGGGGGUGGAAUUCCUGGUGUAGCAGUGAAAUGCGUAGAUAUC
rnacentral:rRNA from 1 species